CUACGGGAGGCUGCAGUGGGGAAUAUUGCACAAUGGGCGCAAGCCUGAUGCAGCCAUGCCGCGUGUAUGAAGAAGGCCUUCGGGUUGUAAAGUACUUUCAGCGGGGAGGAAGGGAGUAAAGUUAAUACCUUUGCUCAUUGACGUUACCCGCAGAAGAAGCACCGGCUAACUCCGUGCCAGCAGCCGCGGUAAUACGGAGGGUGCAAGCGUUAAUCGGAAUUACUGGGCGUAAAGCGCACGCAGGCGGUUUGUUAAGUCAGAUGUGAAAUCCCCGGGCUCAACCUGGGAACUGCAUCUGAUACUGGCAAGCUUGAGUCUCGUAGAGGGGGGUAGAAUUCCAGGUGUAGCGGUGAAAUGCGUAGAGAUCUGGAGGAACACCGAUGGCGAAGGCAGCCCCCUGGGCCAUGACUGACGCUCAUGCACGAAAGCGUGGGGAGCAAACAGGAUUAGAUACCCGAGUAGUC
rnacentral:rRNA from 1 species